UACGUAGGGUGCGAGCGUUAAUCGGAAUUACUGGGCGUAAAGCGUGCGCAGGCGGUUUUGCAAGCCGGAUGUGAAAUCCCCGGGCUCAACCUGGGAAUGGCAUUUGGGACUGCAAGGCUCGAGUGCGGCAGAGGAGACUGGAAUUCCUGGUGUAGCAGUGAAAUGCGUAGAUAUCAGGAGGAAUACCGAUGGCGAAGGCAGGUCUCUGGGCUGACACUGACGCUCAUGCACGAAAGCGUGGGGAGCAAACGGG
rnacentral:rRNA from 1 species